GGGGCAAACUGGGAGCACUGGGAGCACUGGGAGCGCGCGGGGCCGCCCGCGGGGCGGGACUGGGCGAACUGGGAGCGGGGGAGGCUCUUACUGGGGAUACUGGGAGCGGGGGAGGCUGUUACUGGGGAUACUGGGAGCGGGGGAGGCCGGGACUGGGGAUACUGGGAGCGGGGGAGGCUGUUACUGGGGAUACUGGGAGCGGGGGAGGCUGUUACUGGGGAUACUGGGACUGGGGGUGGCUGUUACUGGGGAUACUGGGAGCGGGGGAGGCCAGGACUGGGGAUACUGGGAGCGGGGGAGGCCGGGACUGGGCGAACUGGGAGCGGGGGAGGCUCUUACUGGGGAUACUGGGACUGGGGGCGGCUGUUACUGGUGAUACUGGGAACGGGGAAGGAUCUUUCUGGGGAUACUGGGAUUGGGGGUGGCUGUUACUGGUGAUACUGGGAACGGGGGAGGCUGUUACUGGGGAUACUGGGAGCGGGGGAUGCUGCUACUGGGGAUACUGGGAGCGGGGGAGGCUGUUACUGGGGAUACUGGGAGCAGGGGAGGCCGGGACUGGGAGUACUGGGAGCGGGGGAGGAUCUUACUGGGGAUACUGGGAGCGGGGGAGGCUGUUACUGGGGAUACUGGGAACGGGGGAGGCUGUUACUGGGGAUACUGGGAGCAGGGGAGGCUGUUACUGGGGAUACUGGGAGCAGGGGAGGCUGUUACUGGGCGAACUGGGAGCGGGGGAGGCCGGGACUGGGGAUACUGGGAGCGGGGGAGGAUCUUACUGGGGAUACUGGGAGCGGGGGAGGCUCUUACUGGGGAUACUGGGAGCGGGGGAUGCUGUUACUGGGGAUACUGGGAGCGGGGGAGGCUGUUACUGGUCAUACUGGGAACGGGGGAGGCUGUUACUGGGGAUACUGGGAGCGGGGGAGGAUCUUACUGGGGAUACUGGGACUGGGGGCGGCUCUUACUGAUGUGCGCGGAGCCCCCCUGGGCCGCGGGCCCUACGCCCCCUCCCCUUACGAGCGCCCAGCCUGGAACCCGCGCUUCUGCAUCAUCUCCGGCAACCAGCUGCUGAUGCUCGACGAGGAGGAGGUGAGCACCGGGAGGAUGGCUGGGGGGGUCCCCCAAAAAUC
rnacentral:lncRNA from 1 species